UUGAAGAGAGAGUAGCGCUGUAUGCUGCUAGCUACCAUGCACAAAGUAAUACAUUCCAUUUAUAUACUCACUUUCUUAGGAUCGCAUGUCACCCGUGAGAAAUGUGUUAUCUCUGGCCAUGAUACCUAGGCGAAGAAGGUUUAAUUCAUCCGGAAGCUAACAAUUGAACGGAGACAAUGUUCUCUGUCGCGAGUUUAGCCCAGACGCUUCUCCUCUACGUUAGACUCAGUGCUGAAAAUUAGUCAUUUUACUUCCGGGAGAGGCUAUACGGACCAAAGAUCACUGUGUACCUCGUCAGAAUACCUUCGGGAACCACCUUCUUGCACAGACUGAGAAGGAUGUGGAGGUUUUUGACGAGGAGAAACAGAAGGAGAGCAACCGGGGGAGAAUCAAGAAGGGGAAGUAAAGAAGGGCAAGUACUUCGACAUCUGGGCAAAUUACUUGGGUUUCGAAGAAGGACGAAAGGAAGGCAAGACUUGGGGGAACCUCGCUGCUUUUUCGCUCCUAGCUGGAGUCACCAUCCGUUCAGGGUUACCUCGGUGGAAGCUAACAACCUUCUCCAGUUGGACGGUCGACCACCGGAUGCCCUGCACUUCAGUGAAGCCCAUUAGACAAAGACCAUCGACUGUCCGAGCACCCCAGGAGGUAUCCCAUCCACCAGAGCCAGUGAGUUCAGAUCAGUCUGGUUCUCUGAGUCAGAAGGGUACCAGCCUGAUGUCCUCAAUUACCAACCACUCUCCAACUUUUCAUUACAUCUGCUACAGCUACUGUUGUCAUUAUCUGCUAAGAAAUAUUUUGUGCUCUAUCAUGCUGGGCACAUAUGUGAGAUACACAGACUAACUAACUAAAAACACUUGCACUGCAAACACUCCGAACAGGCAGAACCUCCCAACCACACAGCAACCACCUCCUUUAUAUUCCACACACCAGAAUUCUGUAUUUUAGUUUUUGAUUGCCAUGAGUGUACAAAGAAUCUGUGAAAAAUAUUAGUGCCACAACUGUACCAAAGGAAUAUCAAUGUUUAUGUAUUAAUCUUUAAUAGGUUGGAUUUCACAGCGGUUUCACAAGGUGUUAAUUGUAAGGUAUCCCUUGAUGGUAUUUAUUAGUUCCACAUUACUUAUUGUUGUGUCCUAGGAUCUACAAUAGACACAUAUAUUCAACCACAAGGGUGUGCUAGUGAGCUAUGCGAGAUAGAAAAAAAAAUGUAUCAUACUAGAGGACUACAGAAAUUAUAUUAUUCGGUGUAGAUGAGGGAAGGGCAGGUUAAGAUAUAAACAUGACAGCCAGACAAGCCAGUGUAUGAAUCAAAUGGAUUUGCUUAUGAAUGGAGAGGAAAUUAGCUGAUUUUUGUGAUCUGUAAGCAAAGUAACAUUAAUGUGUCAAGCAGAUUAGUUAGAAACUCUGAAGCUCUCAACUAGAUGAGAAGAGUUCCCUCAGUCCAGUGUCUGUGUUCUUUUGCCCCUCUUAAUCUUUUCUUUUAAUGGCCUGUCUGAGAUAUGGCGCUUUCUUUGCAACUCUGCCUUGAAAGCCAGCAUCCCGGAGUCACCUCUUCACUGUUGACGUUGAGACUGGUGUUUGGCGGGUACUAUUUAAUGAAGCUGCCAGUUGAGACUGAAAUUUAAAAAUGUAUAAAACCAUAACUAGAGACUCAAUGAAUAGGGUACAACAAAGGGCUGCUGUUUUUCUUCAGCACUGUCAACACUUUGUGCAUUUUAUGGAUUAAAGUGUUGAACAUCCUCUACACUACAACCAGCACUGUAGCUGCACUGAAUGACUAAAGCAAAGUGUUCCAAUAAGCUUGCUUUGUUAUUUUUAGCGGCUUGUCUCUUUUCUAAUAUCGAGGAAUGUUUCACUUUCCAUUUUUACACGCUACUCGCUUAUGCACUCACCAGUUCUGUUCUGUGAGCUUGUGUGGCCUGCCACUUCAUGGCUGAGCUGUUGUUGCUCCUAGACGUUUCCACUUACAGUUGACCGGGGCAGCUCCAGCAGGGCAGAAAUUUUAUGAACUUUUUGUAUUUUAUUCAUUUUCCCAGUAGCUGUUGCAAAAGCAGCAGAAAGCGUACAGUAUUAUAUAUAUAUAUAUAUGUAUAUAUAUAAGUGUGUUAACAACCGUUUCACAGGUGCAUGUCCAUUAAUUGUUUAUGGUUCAUU